UGACAACGGUCGUUUCGCCUUGGGAAAGAACGCAUUUUAUUUACAGGAGAAGGUCACCUAUGGUUGUGAUACUGGCUUUGUAACUCCAGAAGGACAAGAAACAGGAGUGAUACAGUGUCAAGAGAAUGGCUGGACUCCACCUCCAAAGUGUAUCAAAUCAUGUAAAACACCUCAUUUGGACAUUUUGAAUUACCACGCAAAUAGAACUAUGUUCAUGCCUGAAGAUGCAAUUGAAUAUGCAUGUUUGGAGGGAUAUCAAACUGCAGAUAAUAUGCCAACUGGUACCACAAGGUGUGGCAUAAAUGGUGAAUGGAGUCCAACGCCCCAGUGUCUUGCAAUAGAAUGUGAGAUGCUGACGUUGCCCAAUGGAGAUGUUUCCCCCAAGGAGCGUAAAUACCGGAAUGGAGAUGUUGUGAAAUUUACCUGUGCAAACAAUUAUGUGAGAGUGGGACCUGCCUCUACUCAGUGCUAUUACUUUGGAUGGUUUCCA